GAUGAACGCUGGCGGCGUGCCUAAUACAUGCAAGUCGAGCGAACAGACGAGGAGCUUGCUCCUCUGACGUUAGCGGCGGACGGGUGAGUAACACGUGGAUAACCUACCUAUAAGACUGGGAUAACUUCGGGAAACCGGAGCUAAUACCGGAUAAUAUAUUGAACCGCAUGGUUCAAUAGUGAAAGACGGUUUUGCUGUCACUUAUAGAUGGAUCCGCGCCGCAUUAGCUAGUUGGUAAGGUAACGGCUUACCAAGGCAACGAUGCGUAGCCGACCUGAGAGGGUGAUCGGCCACCCUGGAACGGGGACGCGGUCCAGACUCCUACGGGAGGCAGCAGUAGGGAAUCUUACGCAAUGGGCGAAAGCCUGACGGAGCAAGGCCGCGUGAGUGAUGAAGGUGUUCGGAUCGGAAAACUCUGUUAUUGGGGAAGAACAAAUGUGUAAGUAACUGUGCACGUCUUGACGGUACCUAAUCAGAAAGCCACGGCUAACUACGUG
rnacentral:rRNA from 1 species